rnacentral:SRP_RNA from 1 species
GCCAGGCGCGGUGGUGUGUGUCUGUAGUCCCAGCUACUCAGGAGGCUGAGGCUGGAGGAUCUCGAGUCCAGGAGUUCUAGGCUGUAGUGCGCUUUGCCAACUGGGUGUCCGCACUAAGUUCGGCAUCAAUAUGGUGACCUCCCGGGAGCGGGGACCACCAGGUUGCCUAAGGAGGGAUGAACCAGCCCAGGUCGGAAACGGAGCAGGUCAAAACUCCCGUGCUGAUCAGUACUGGGAUCGUGCCUGUGAAUAACCACUGCACUCCAGCCUGGGCAACACAGCAAGACCCAGUCUCU